AUGUGUCGCUAUUUGAUACUUCCUCGCUGUUCCCAAAUCUUAUAUUAUGGCUGCGCCUACCGCGACCAACCUGACCGGCCAGCCGCCCCGCCGUCGUCGCCUCUGCCGCCGCGAUUUGUCCGGCGGGAUCGCACGAGGAAGAAAGGGAGAGAGAUGAGGAGCAGCGAGGCCAUGGAGCUCCUGGGCUUCGCUCCCUGCUCCCGCCCGUCCCCUUCCGAGGUUAAGGCUGCGUAUAGAAGAAUGGUCAUGGAGUCCCAUCCCGAUCGCGUCCCGAUGGAUCAGAAGCCUCAAGCCGAGUCAAAAUUCAAGCAGGUAGUAGAAGCAUAUUCUUGUUUGAAGGAUGGUCGAAGAUUUGGGAACAGAAUGGAAGUACAUGUAAUGAGGUCUGGUGUUCCAACGGGAUACAGAAGAUCAAACAAGAUAUUGGUUAAAGCCCCCUUUCUGCUCAUAAUUUGUGCCGCAGUUUCCUUUGGUUCCUACAGCGCUUCGAGGGCAUACCAGCGGCAAAAGGAUGUGUGUUCCUCUCAGAACCCUUUUCUUCCAUAA
rnacentral:rRNA from 1 species